rnacentral:snoRNA from 1 species
UGGCACAGGUGAGCACAGGGCUCAGCCUAGUGAUGCACAGUCCCAUUCCA